rnacentral:rRNA from 1 species
UACGAGGGGUGCAAGCGUUGCUCGGAAUUAUUGGGCGUAAAGGGUAGGUAGGUGGUCUCAUUUGUCUGGGGUGAAAGCCUUGAGCUUAACUCAAGAAGUGCCCUAGAAACGGUGAGACUGGAGUCCUGGAGAGGGUCGUGGAAUUCCCGGUGUAGCGGUGAAAUGCGUAGAGAUCGGGAGGAACACCAGCGGCGAAGGCGGCGACCUGGACAGGUACUGACGCUGAGGCACGAAAGCGUGGGGAGCAAACAGG